AUAACUGGCUUGUGGUAGCCAAGUGGUCUUAGCAACGUAGCUUUUGAUCCUUCUAUGUCUGCUCCUUUUUCUAUCAUUAUGAAUGAGACUUCACCAAGCAUUGGAUUUGUCACCCACUAAUACGGACGUGAGCUGGGCUUCGAAUGUCGUGUGACAGGUU
rnacentral:ncRNA from 1 species